GAGACGGAGUCUUCGCUUUGUCACCAGUCUGGAGUGCAGUGGCAUGAUCCCGGCUCACCGCAACCUCUGCCUCCCGGGUUCAAGUGAUUCUCCUGCCUCAGCCUCCUGAGCAGCUGGGACGACAGGCAGAAUGAGGCAGAAUGACACUGGACAAUCACUGUGGGAGGAGGAAGAUGAGUUUAAAGUAAAGAUCAAAUUCUCCAGGUACAACUGGCUAAGAGUGUGUUAAAGAUGGAUAUGAUUCAUGACUGAGAAACGUCAUGAGGAGACAAAGAGACCAUGCAAGUGUUCUGAAACCAUUGUGCGAAGAAGAGAAAAGCUUCCAUCCACUGGGCAGUGGCACCAGAGUUUGCAAAUAAUUGCACACAAAGGGACUUCUGUUAAGGAUUACUCUCUGGAAUUUUGCACUAAAUUCCCAAAGCAUUUUCCUUCUAACAUUUUGUGAUUUGGUUGAACAAGUGGUCACCUUACCCACAACCUUCAUGAUAUCAGAGAUCUCAUUCAUGUCUGCUGUCAUUACUUCCAG
rnacentral:lncRNA from 10 species